rnacentral:circRNA from 1 species
UGAAGAACUGAAUGUCAUCAUGUCUGGAAUCAAGCGAACCAUCAAAGAAACCGACCCUGAUUACGAGGAUGUAUCUGUGGCCCUUCCAAAUAAGCGGCAUAAAGCAAUUGAGAAUUCAGCUCGAGAUGCUGCUGUGCAGAAGAUUGAGACUAUUAUCAAAGAACAGUUUGCUCUUGAAAUGAAGAAUAAGGAACAUGAAAUUGAAGUCAUUGACCAGCGACUGAUUGAAGCAAGAAGGAUGAUGGAUAAACUGCGUGCCUGCAUUGUAGCAAACUACUAUGCUUCUGCAGGUCUUCUAAAAGUUUCUGAGGGAUCAAAGACAUGUGAUACAAUGGUUUUUAAUCAUCCUGCUAUCAAGAAAUUUUUGGAAUCACCAUCUAGGUCAUCAUCUCCUGCCAAUCAGAGAGCAGAAACACCAUCAGCCAAUCAUUCAGAAAGUGAUUCUUUAUCUCAGCACAAUGACUUCUUAUCUGACAAAGAUAAUAACAGCAAUAUGGAUAUAGAGGAAAGACUCUCAAACAACAUGGAGCAGAGACCAAGCCGAAAUACUGGAAGGGAUACUUCUAGAAUUACUGGCUCCCAUAAAACAGAACAGCGGAAUGCUGAUCUCACAGAUGAGACUUCACGACUUUUUGUAAAGAAAACAAUAGUAGUGGGCAAUGUGUCCAAGUAUAUACCUCCGGAUAAGAGGGAAGAAAAUGACCAGUCAACUCAUAAGUGGAUGGUAUAUGUCCGAGGGUCCCGUAGAGAACCCAGCAUUAAUCAUUUUGUCAAGAAGGUUUGGUUCUUCCUUCAUCCUAGCUAUAAACCAAAUGACCUUGUGGAAGUUAG